rnacentral:rRNA from 1 species
GACGAACGCUGGCGGCGUGCUUAACACAUGCAAGUCGAACGGAAAGGCCCUGCUUUUGUGGGGUGCUCGAGUGGCGAACGGGUGAGUAACACGUGAGUAACCUGCCCUUGACUUUGGGAUAACUUCAGGAAACUGGGGCUAAUACCGGAUAGGAGCUCCUGCUGCAUGGUGGGGGUUGGAAAGUUUCGGCGGUUGGGGAUGGACUCGCGGCUUAUCAGCUUGUUGGUGGGGUAGUGGCUUACCAAGGCUUUGACGGGUAGCCGGCCUGAGAGGGUGACCGGCGACAUUGGGACUGAGAUACGGCCCAGACUCCUACGGGAGGCAGCAGUGGGGAAUAUUGCACAAUGAGCGGAAGCCUGAUGCAGCAACGCCGCGUGCGGGAUGACGGACUUCGGGUUGUAAACCGCUUUCGCCUGUGACGAAGCGUGAGUGACGGUAAUGGGUAAAGAAGCACCGGCUAACUACGUG